rnacentral:rRNA from 1 species
GACGAACGCUGGCGGCGUGCCUAAUACAUGCAAGUUGAGCGCUGAAGGUUGGUACUUGUACCAACUGGAUGAGCAGCGAACGGGUGAGUAACGCGUGGGGAAUCUGCCUUUGAGCGGGGGACAACAUUUGGAAACGAAUGCUAAUACCGCAUAAAAACUUUAAACACAAGUAUUAAGUUUGAAAGAUGCAAUUGCAUCACUCAAAGAUGAUCCCGCGUUGUAUUAGCUAGUUGGUGAGGUAAAGGCUCACCAAGGCGAUGAUACAUAGCCGACCUGAGAGGGUGAUCGGCCACAUUGGGACUGAGACACGGCCCAAACUCCUACGGGAGGCAGCAGUAGGGAAUCUUCGGCAAUGGACGAAAGUCUGACCGAGCAACGCCGCGUGAGUGAAGAAGGUUUUCGGAUCGUAAAACUCUGUUGGUAGAGAAGAACGUUGGUGAGAGUGGAAAGCUCAUCAAGUGACGGUAACUACCCAGAAAGGGACGGCUAACUACGUG